rnacentral:rRNA from 1 species
UGCGCAGGCGGGCUUGUAAGUCAGUGGUGAAAUACUGCCGCUCAACGGUAGAACUGCCAUUGAUACUGCAAGUCUUGAAUAUGGUUGAGGUAGGCGGAAUGUGUCGUGUAGCGGUGAAAUGCAUAGAUAUGACACAGAACGCCAAUUGCGAAGGCAGCUUACUAAGCCAUUAUUGACGCUGAGGCACGAAAGCGUGGGGAGCGAACAGGAUUAAUACCCUGGUAGUCC